rnacentral:rRNA from 1 species
UCUACGGAGAGUUUGAUUCUGGCUCAGAACGAACGCUGGCGGCGUGGAUAAGACAUGCAAGUCGAACGAGAUCUCCGGAUAGCUUGCUAACUGGAGUGAAAGUGGCGGACGGGUGCGUAACACGUGAGCAACCUGCCCUGAAGUGGGGGAUAGCUCUCCGAAAGGAGGAUUAAUACCGCAUGUGGUCUUCGGAUCAAAGGUGGCUUCGGCUGCCGCUUCAGGAUGGGCUCGCGGCCUAUCAGCUUGUUGGUGAGGUAACGGCUCACCAAGGCGAUGACGGGUAGCUGGUCUGAGAGGACGAUCAGCCUCACUGGAACUGAGACACGGUCCAGACACCUACGGGUGGCAGCAGUCGAGAAUCAUUCACAAUGGGCGCAAGCCUGAUGGUGCAACGCCGCGUGGAGGAUGACGGCCUUCGGGUUGUAAACUCCUGUCAUCUGGGAGUAAUCCUUGUGCGUUAAUAGCGUGCAAGGUUGAUAGUACCAGAAGAGGAAGCGCCGGCUAACUCCGUGCCAGCAGCCGCGGUAAUACGGAGGGCGCAAGCGUUGUUCGGAAUCACUGGGCGUAAAGCGUGCGUAGGCGGCGCGGUAAGUCAGAUGUGAAAUCUCUGGGCUCAACCCGGAAACUGCAUCCGAUACUGCCGUGCUGGAGUAAUGGAGGGGUAGCUGGAAUUCUCAGUGUAGCAGUGAAAUGCGUAGAUAUUGAGAGGAACACCAGUUGCGAAGGCGGAUCUCUGGACGGUUCCUGACGCUGAGGCACGAAAGCUGGGGUAGCGAAGAGGAUUAGAUACCCUCGUAGUCCCAGCCGUAAACGGUGCGCACUUGCUGUGGGCGGAUUCGACCCCGUCCGUGGCGAAGCUAACGCGAUAAGUGCGCCGCCUGGG